rnacentral:rRNA from 1 species
UGCGUAGGUGGCAGUGCAAGUCAGAUGUGAAAGGCCGGGGCUCAACCCCGGAGCUGCAUUUGAGACUGCAUAGCUAGAGUACAGGAGAGGCAGGCGGAAUUCCUAGUGUAGCGGUGAAAUGCGUAGAUAUUAGGAGGAACACCAGUGGCGAAGGCGGCCUGCUGGACUGUUACUGACACUGAGGCACGAAAGCGUGGGGAGCAAACA